AUUGAACGCUGGCGGCAGGCCUAACACAUGCAAGUCGAGCGGUUGAGGGGAGCUUGCUCCCUGAUUCAGCGGCGGACGGGUGAGUAAUGCCUAGGAAUCUGCCUAUUAGUGGGGGACAACGUUUCGAAAGGAACGCUAAUACCGCAUACGUCCUACGGGAGAAAGCAGGGGACCUUCGGGCCUUGCGCUAAUAGAUGAGCCUAGGUCGGAUUAGCUUGUUGGUGAGGUAAUGGCUCACCAAGGCGACGAUUCGUAACUGGUCUGAGAGGAUGAUCAGUCACACUGGAACUGAGACACGGUCCAGACUCCUACGGGAGGCAGCAGUGGGGAAUAUUGGACAAUGGGCGAAAGCCUGAUCCAGCCAUGCCGCGUGUGUGAAGAAGGUCUUCGGAUUGUAAAGCACUUUAAGUUGGGAGGAAGGGUUGUAGAUUAAUACUCUGCAAUUUUGACGUUACCGACAGAAUAAGCACCGGCUAACUCUGUGCCAGCCGCCGCGGUAACAC
rnacentral:rRNA from 1 species